rnacentral:rRNA from 1 species
GAUGAACGCUGGCGGCGUGCCUAAUACAUGCAAGUCGAGCGAACAGACGAGGAGCUUGCUCCUCUGACGUUAGCGGCGGACGGGUGAGUAACACGUGGAUAACCUACCUAUAAGACUGGGAUAACUUCGGGAAACCGGAGCUAAUACCGGAUAAUAUAUUGAACCGCAUGGUUCAAUAGUGAAAGACGGUUUUGCUGUCACUUAUAGAUGGAUCCGCGCCGCAUUAGCUAGUUGGUAAGGUAACGGCUUACCAAGGCAACGAUGCGUAGCCGACCUGAGAGGGUGAUCGGCCACACUGGAACGGAGACACGGUCCAGACUCCUACGGGAGGCAGCAGUAGGGAAUCUUCCGCAAUGGGCGAAAGCCUGACGGAGCAACGCCGCGUGAGUGAUGAAGGUCUUCGGACCGUAAAACUCUGUUAUUAGGGAAGAACAAAUGUGUAAGUAACUAUGCACGUCUUGACGGUACCUAAUCAGAAAGCCACGGCUAACUACGUG